AUUGUCAGUAUCCCUCCGACAAUCCAAUGACCAGGAACCUUUUGGACACAAUGGUUAUGUGAAGAAGGUCUCUGUAGUCUAACAUCAUUAGAUUACUUCUUCAAUCGAUCCAUUGUCCAUGGAUUCACUAUUCAGGACAUAUAUCGUUUAUUGAGAUAGUCCUAAUUAGUAUCUUCGCCAUUUGAUGUAUAAGAAUCAUCCAUACAUCGAUUCAUUUGUCCUGAAAGAUUUCUUCCAAAGAUUGACUUUCAGGGCAUAUUUCCAACACAUAGGAGAAAGGUCUUGUUAAUCUUACAUAAAUCACUUUUCUCUUAGAACAAAUACAUUCCUUGGAUUCCCCUAUUGCUUAAACACAUGAUACAAUAAAUAGUGAUUAACAAUAAGCUUUGCCCUUUAUUAAACAAAUAAAUGUUUAACAUAAUGAGCAUUAAUUCAAAAGUUAUUACAUCAAAUGAGUGGCUUUAUAGGCAUAUACUUCCAACAUAUUCUCCUUCCACUAUGGAAAGUUAGAGAUCCCUUGUUGUCCUCCAUGGAUCUCAACGAUUAUGAGUGACACCUAGCCGUAGGUCAUUGUCCCCAAGUUGAUAUAGAAUGUAUUCAAAGAACCUAUAUAAUUACAAUUAUCAUGCACCACAAUUUUUGUCUAUUCAAUACUCUCAAUCACAUUAUUAGGGCAUGGCUUUUUUUUUUUUGCCAAACAAAAGAUUUGUUAGAUUAGGUGUUUAGAUUAGGGAGCCGACUGGGUUUGAACACAAGUCGUAAUGCAAGGGUAACACUCCUCUCCACCGUUGUGGUAGAGGGCUACUUGCUAUUAGGGCAUGGUUUGUUGGAAGUAUGCCCACAAAGCCACUCAUUUGAUGUAAUAGCUUUUGGAAUACUUAUUGUAUUA
rnacentral:lncRNA from 1 species